rnacentral:rRNA from 1 species
UACGAAGGGGGCUAGCGUUGUUCGGAAUUACUGGGCGUAAAGGGCGCGUAGGCGGUUAUAUUAGUCAGAUGUGAAAGCCCUGGGCUUAACCUAGGAAUAGCAUUUGAUACUGUAUGUCUAGAGUGCGAGAGGGGAAAGUGGAAUUGCGAGUGUAGAGGUGAAAUUCGUAGAUAUUCGCAAGAACACCGGUGGCGAAGGCAGCUUUCUGGCUCGUAACUGACGCUGAGGCGCGAAAGCGUGGGGAGCAAACAGG